GGCAAGUGAUGAAUUGUCCCCAGGAAAGGUCCUGCAGAGUUUCCAGAUUGGAUUUUUAGGGUUUGGAGGCUCUAGGAUGGGACUCUUAAACGAAGCAUCCGCUGUGCGCUUUGCUCUAGCCUGCUCCGGCAUGUGCGCUGCAAACCCCCGUGGGCUGGAUGCGGUCCAGGGCCCGGUGGAGGAGCGUACCUGCAAACAGCGGCAGGGGAGGAAUUGCUGCGCCGGCAUCCCAAACUGCCCGAGCGGAGGGAGGGCACGGACUCAGCCUCUAACUUUUCUUGGCUCCUGUAUUGUGCAUUUCUUGUACGCACCUCCCUUCUUGUGAACAAAAAGGGAAAGCUACAGAUUACUCAGGCCAGCUCAGUUACACGUGCAUCUAAUGUGAGAAAGUGGUUCAUCUGAUGAGGAACAAAAGAAUAGGAGAUGCAGACAGAUGUUUCUAACCGGGCGCAGCAGCUUAGCCCAUCUACCCUUCUUCCAAGGAUUUUUCCAAUUUACCUAGGAUCUUUAUUGUGAAUGUCACAUAAGCAAUGUGGCAGGGUUCCCUAUGCCAAACACCAAUUGAUUUAUGAACUGCUUCUCCAUUAGAGAUGACCUAGAGUGAUGGUGGAUGUAACAGGCACUAGAUAUUCAAACCAGACUAUUUGUUUAGGUGUAAUUUGCUUAAUAAAGUACUAUGCUAUUUUGAUCUUCAGGGAGGCGGAUUGGUCCACGCGCUACUCAGAGAAUUAUGUAUCAGAAACUCUUGCAUCCCUUUUGAAUACUACUUUGAUUACGAAGACUCCUCAUGACAGGCAAAUGUUCUGCCUUCAUUCAAGAUCAGGGCUGAAAUCAAUAAAAUCUGAGCAGGCUAUGAUGGACGUGUACUUAAUGAAGAUAAUGGCAGGAUACAGCAAGCCAAGUAAUAACGUUUGAGAUAUUGUGCAUCAGCUUAGAGAGGUGUGUGUGACUCUGGUGCCACAUCAAUAGUAGCAACGGUCCAGUGGUAGCAGUAGUGAGAAAUAUCUCCUAAAGUUUACCAGUUUGCCAUAAUAGUAAUCAUAUGCCUAUGAUUACAAUCUAAAAGGUGAUUGAUCGCAUUAGAAAGAUACAGGGCUUAAUUGUUGCAAAUGCGCCUUGUCAUCUUUAAGCUAAUAGUACUCGAACUUCUGUCUCGAAGAGACGGUAAAUUGAGCUGUCGAUGAAACGUGGGCUCGUGGUCUUAUUUAUUCAUCGGUACCGCGUGGAUGGAGUGAGACUGCAGCAUGUUUGGCUCCACAGCCAGCACAGUACCUAAGAGUCUCUGUAUCUCCCCUGACAACUUAUUGCCUCAUCAGCAUAGAAGAAAGGUGUCUGAACAAGGUCGGAGGUGGCUGAAGGAGCGCCGAAGUUCUCAGCAGUUCAUUCUCCAACACGCGCAUUGCUCGGAUUGCCAAAUCGUGCCGUGCUGAAAUCCCAAAGGGAACGAGUACAGUUAAGUGAAAGACCACUGGCAGUUGUUUGUUAAAAGGCAAGGUGAAGCCUGCAAAGAGUUGAAUUACAGUUCUUAGCAUAAAAACUGUUUCUUUGAGUUCAAGGAAGUACGAUGAAUACAGAUUACACCGAAGUGGACUUCAGAACAAGUCAAAUGGAAUGGGAUUCUACCUUGGAGCAAAAGGGCUCAGGCUACUUCACCCCUCUUUGGGAAAAGUGGAGAUUAAGUUCUGGUUCUAAAAGCAGUGCAGUAUACUCUCUUCAACAGCAUUAAGAUUUCAAUAUAUUUCAUUUAUUAAUGGUUUUAAUGCAGAAAUCUCUAACCUUGUUGCUGAAGCUCUAAAUGUAAACAUCAGUAGGUUACUGAAAGCGAAAUCGUAUUACCAGGACUUGUCUUCUAAAGCGAAUCAAAAGUGCCAUGCAUAACAGACCGGCCAGGCCUGAAUAUAGUAGGUUAGAAAAACAGAAUUGUUUGACCCAUUUUCCAUGGGAAGUGACCUUCAACUUUCAGAGUUUGAGAAAUAUAGCUCUCUUGGUACCUAUAUUUUUUGAACAAGGAGUAUAUAUUAUGUAUGUGUAAUAUCCUAAUAAUUUUAUGCUUUAAAGUCUUACAGCCUGUUCGCAUUGGUAGGUAGUUAACUUAUCGAGGUGAAAUAUACUCUGAAACUCUCACAGCAGGAUACUUGUGCUUGCCUUUUAUGCAAUUGCUGUUGUCUCCAGUGGUGAAAAGGUGGACUGUUUUGGGGUCAGCUCCAGUAUUAAGAAGAAAUUAUUUAUACUCAGCAAUCAGUGUUAGAAACACAGUGUGAUGCAACUUCUUGCUUGUGAUUUUUAAAGAUUAUGUUUAUUCUGUUUAAAUGCACACAAACUUACAAAAUAGGUUCAAUAAGAAAAUUCAUUUAAUGAUUCCAAGAGAAGCUUAAAAUUCUACUGAAAAGCCAGAAAGGAUAGAUUUAGCAUUUUACUCUUAUGAGGUAUCGGGCUUUCUGUAUGUAAUGCAUACCUAGCACAGUAAUUCAAUGAAUGUUUUCUGUCACCUUUUUAUAUAAAACUUUAACCUAAA